GACGAACGCUGGCGGCGUGCCUAAUACAUGCAAGUCGAACGCUUUUUCUUUCACCGGAGCUUGCUCCACCGAAAGAAAAAGAGUGGCGAACGGGUGAGUAACACGUGGGUAACCUGCCCAUCAGAAGGGGAUAACACUUGGAAACAGGUGCUAAUACCGUAUAACACUAUUUUCCGCAUGGAAGAAAGUUGAAAGGCGCUUUUGCGUCACUGAUGGAUGGACCCGCGGUGCAUUAGCUAGUUGGUGAGGUAACGGCUCACCAAGGCAACGAUGCAUAGCCGACCUGAGAGGGUGAUCGGCCACACUGGGACUGAGACACGGCCCAGACCCCUACGGGAGGCAGCAGUAGGGAAUCUUCGGCAAUGGACGAAAGUCUGACCGAGCAACGCCGCGUGAGUGAAGAAGGUUUUCGGAUCGUAAAAACUCU
rnacentral:rRNA from 1 species